rnacentral:rRNA from 1 species
GAUUUCUUAGAAGUGUAAUGAGGAUAAUUUACAAACCUUACCGAAUGCAAUUGGAGGGCAAGUCUGGUGCCAGCAGCCGCGGUAAUUCCAGCUCCAAUAGCGUAUAUUAAAGUUGUUGCAGUUUAAAAGCUCGUAGUUGAAGUUCUGAUUGCUCAGGUUUCCAGCCUUAGGCGGAGAUACUGACAGUCAUCCGCUUGCAAACAUAUGUUCGAUCUUCACCGGUUGGCUAUGUGAGUAAGCACUUUACCUUGAGAAAAACAGAGUGUUCCAGGCAGGUUUGUCCGGGAUGCAUUAGCAUGGAAUAAUAGAACAUGACUGAAGUCGAUUUAUUGGUUUAAGGCUUUAGUAAUGAUUAAUAGGAACAGUCGGGGGCAUUCGUACUCAGCAGUCAGAGGUGAAAUUCUAAGAUUUGCUGAAGACGAACUAAUGCAAAGCAUUUGCCAAGGAUAGUUUUCAUUAAUCAAGAACGAAGUUAGGGGAUCAAAGACGAUCAGAUACCGUCCUAG